rfam:Brachypodium distachyon strain Bd21 chromosome 2, whole genome shotgun sequence.
AAAUUACUCCCUCCGUCCCAUAUUAAGUGUCUCAAAUUUUCCCAAACAUGGAUGUAUCUAUAACUAAAAAACAUCUACAUACAUGUAAUAUUUUGACACUUAAUAUGGGACGGAGGGAGUAUAAG